UUGAAGGCCCUGCAAAGCAGCAUCGCGGUGGCGGAGCGUCGUUUGCGACGCCCAACACACAAAACAAGCGGUGAGUGCUUUGGGGUGGGGUGACUGCGUACCUUUUGUAUAAUGGGUCAGCGACUUAUAUUCUGUAGCAAGGUUAACCGUAUAGGGGAGCCGAAGGGAAACCGAGUCUUAACUGGGCGUUAAGUUGCAGGGUAUAGACCCGAAACCCGGUGAUCUAGCCAUGGGCAGGUUGAAGGUUGGGUAACACUAACUGGAGGACCGAACCGACUAAUGUUGAAAAAUUAGCGGAUGACUUGUGGCUGGGGGUGAAAGGCCAAUCAAACCGGGAGAUAGCUGGUUCUCCCCGAAAGCUAUUUAGGUAGCGCCUCGUGAACUCAUCUUCGGGGGUAGAGCACUGUUUCGGCUAGGGGGUCAUCCCGACUUACCAACCCGAUGCAAACUGCGAAUACCGAAGAAUGUUAUCACGGGAGACACACGGCGGGUGCUAACGUCCGUCGUGAAGAGGGAAACAACCCAGACCGCCAGCUAAGGUCCCAAAGUCACAGUUAAGUGGGAAACGAUGUGGGAAGGCUCAGACAGCCAGGAUGUUGGCUUAGAAGCAGCCAUCAUUUAAAGAAAGCGUAAUAGCUCACUGGUCGAGUCGGCCUGCGCGGAAGAUGUAACGGGGCUAAACUGUGCACCGAAGCUGCGGCAGCGACGCUUAUGCGUUGUUGGGUAGGGGAGCGUUCUGUAAGCCUGCGAAGGUGUCCUGUGAGGGAUGCUGGAGGUAUCAGAAGUGCGAAUGCUGACAUAAGUAACGAUAA
rnacentral:rRNA from 1 species